AUUGAACGCUAGCGGCAGGCCUAACACAUGCAAGUCGAGCGGAUGAAGGGAGCUUGCUCCUGGAUUCAGCGGCGGACGGGUGAGUAAUGCCUAGGAAUCUGCCUGGUAGUGGGGGAUAACGUCCGGAAACGGGCGCUAAUACCGCAUACGUCCUGAGGGAGAAAGUGGGGGAUCUUCGGACCUCACGCUAUCAGAUGAGCCUAGGUCGGAUUAGCUAGUUGGUGGGGUAAAGGCCUACCAAGGCGACGAUCCGUAACUGGUCUGAGAGGAUGAUCAGUCACACUGGAACUGAGACACGGUCCAGACUCCUACGGGAGGCAGCAGUGGGGAAUAUUGGACAAUGGGCGAAAGCCUGAUCCAGCCAUGCCGCGUGUGUGGAGAAGGUCUUCGGAUUGUAAAGCACUUUAAGUUGGGAGGAAGGGCAGUAAGUUAAUACCUUGCUGUUUUGACGUUACCAACAGAAUAAGCACCGGCUAACUUCGU
rnacentral:rRNA from 1 species